rnacentral:rRNA from 1 species
ACGGAAUAGAUACCCAGGUAGUCCACGCCCUAAACGAUGUCUACUAGUUGUCGGGUCUUAAUUGACUUGGUAAACGCAGCUAAACGCGUGAAGUAGACCGCCUGGGGAGUACGGUCGCAAGAUUAAAACUCAAAGGAAUUGACGGGGACCCGCACAAGCGGUGGAUGAUGUGGAUUAAAUUCGAUGNCAACGCGAAAACCUUACCUACCCUUGACAUGGAUGGAAUCCCUGAGAGAUUGGGGAGUGCUCGAAAGAGAACCAUUACACAGGUGCUGCAUGGCUGUCGUCAGCUCGUGUCGUGAGAUGUUGGGUUAAGUCCCGCAACGAGCGCAACCCUUGUCAUUAGUUGCUACGAAAGGGCACUCUAAUGAGACUGCCGGUGACAAACCGGAGGAAGGUGGGGAUGACGUCAAGUCCUCAUGGCCCUUAUGGGUAGGGCUUCACACGUCAUACAACGGUACAUACAGAGGGCCGCCAACCCGCGAGGGGAGCUAAUCCCAGAAAGUGUAUCGUAGUCCGGACUGUAGUCUGCAACUCG